rnacentral:lncRNA from 1 species
GCGGGGAGGGCGGGGUCUGGGCGCCUGGAGGAAGCCAGAGCUUUGGCGCAGGCCGCCUGCGCGCUGUGCCAGGAAAGCGCUUGGAGAAAAUGUCCGGCCCCGCGACCUGGGACAGGAAGUGAUGGAGCACGGACUUAGUUUGCCUUUCAGUUCUUGUAUAAAUAGUUUUGAGGGUUGUCUCUGAAUUUUCACUCAGUUGUCUACCAAGAUGUUGAAUGGACCCAGAGCCAAGGACGUGGUCUUUUAUCAGUGGCACCUGAGACUUUCUUCCCUGUGGACGCAAAUCCAUUAUUCAGCACUCUGGGCACAGCUACAGAUCUGAUCAGCUAUCCAUUCUCCAAACUAUCUCAUCCUCUGUCCCAUUUUUCUGUCUCUCUUGUCCACAAGGCAUAUACCUGAGAGUUUUCAAAUUCCUCAGAGAAAUUUAGAUAUUCUGUGGCUUUGGCAUUCACCUAAUGUGUUAAUCUACAAACCUUUUUUACAGUGUGGAUUUUUUUUCAUGAUGUGAAUUCAAGUGGUUUC